GUGCAGCCGCCGCGGUAAUACGGAGGGUGCAAGCGUUGUCCGGAUUCAUUGGGUUUAAAGGGUGCGCAGGCGGCUUUGUAAGUCAGUGGUGAAAUUUUACGGCUCAACCGUAACCGUGCCAUUGAAACUACAGGGCUUGAGUGCAGUUGAGGUGGUUGGAAUGCGUAGUGUAGCGGUGAAAUGCAUAGAUAUUACGCAGAACACCAAUUGUGAAGGCAGAUCACUAAACUGUAACUGACGCUGAGGCACGAAAGCGUGGGGAGCGAACAGGAUUAGAUA
rnacentral:rRNA from 1 species